rnacentral:rRNA from 1 species
AUUGAACGCUGGCGGCAGGCCUAACACAUGCAAGUCGAACGGUAACAGGAAGCAGCUUGCUGCUUUGCUGACGAGUGGCGGACGGGUGAGUAAUGUCUGUGAAACUGCCCGAUGGAGGGGGAUAACUACUGGAAACGGUAGCUAAUACCGCAUAACGUCGCAAGACCAAAGAGGGGGACCUUAGGGCCUCUUGCCAUCGGAUGUGCCCAGAUGGGAUUAGCUAGUAGGUGGGGUAACGGCUCACCUAGGCGACGAUCCCUAGCUGGUCUGAGAGGAUGACCAGCCACACUGGAACUGAGACACGGUCCAGACUCCUACGGGAGGCAGCAGUGGGGAAUAUUGCACAAUGGGCGCAAGCCUGAUGCAGCCAUGCCGCGUGUAUGAAGAAGGCCUUCGGGUUGUAAAGUACUUUCAGCGGGGAGGAAGGGAGUAAAGUUAAUACCUUUGCUCAUUGACGUUACCCGAAGAAGAAGCACCGGCUAACUCCGUG